UAGUAUGGAAUAGCCAUUAGAAAUGAUGGGUAAUACUGUAUAAUCCCUGCGGGGGAAAGAUUUAUCGCUAUUAGAUGAGCCUACGUUAGAUUAGCUAGUUGGUAAGGUAAUGGCUUACCAAGGCUAUGAUCUAUAGCUGGUCUGAGAGGACGAUCAGCCACACUGGAACUGAGAUACGGUCCAGACUCCUACGGGAGGCAGCAGUGGGGAAUAUUGGACAAUGGGCGAAAGCCUGAUCCAGCUAUGCCGCGUGAGUGAAGAAGGCCUUCGGGUUGUAAAGCUCUUUCAAUAGGGAAGAUAAUGACGGUACCUAUA
rnacentral:rRNA from 1 species